ensembl:lncRNA
GAUAUGUCAAAUUGUGAUGACUGGUUAGACACUCUGGAUACUGAAGACCACUGGAUAUGGUGAUGAAUUACAUCUCAAUAAAGUUGUUUUUAAAACAACACACAAGCUCAAGCAAAGGCUUUGCCAAGUGGCCAGCCUUGGUGGAGCAAUGGAGGAUUCACGCCGUGGAGACCAGUGGAUGCCCAUGUAGGCUGUGGCUUAGUAGAAGAUGUACCGGGCCAGGGACUCAGAUGUGAAAAGACAAGAUUCACACCAGCAGUUAAUCCUUGCAUGUAAUAUCUGGGGAAAUUUUCCAUCCAUUUCAACUGGAAUCGAGGAUCAAGAAUUCUGUGUGAGAAAAUCUCCUCCCAUCUGAGAGUCGACUUUCAGAGCACAACCUUCCUAGAUGGCAGCACCCCUCUCUAGACUGCGAAUGUGGCAAACAGCCCUCUGCAAGAGCCCUUUGCAGCUGCUGUCCUUGGGCUUGGAGUGCUUUCCCCCAGUUGUGCACAUACUGGGAAUUCAGCAACCUGGAAAGAAGGGCAGGACGCUGCAAACGGAACGGUACCAGCAAAGACACUGUAGUGGAACUUUUUUGUGCCGGCCAUGUGCUCUGUCCACGUGGAAUACCAGCUGGCUUCCUGUGACUCCCCGUUUAAUUUGCAGAGUCAACACCGUGGUGAAGAAUCUGGACUCUGACCUGGGGGAUGAGAAGGGACCCUUGGACGGCUUGGAGGUGCCAUCAUCCAAUCAGCAUUUAGGAGAGAUGACUCCAGCACAGGCAGGACCAAUGGGCUGGAGGAGACUUUGGGAGCAAAGAGACCUGCUGUUAAGGCUGGUGCCAAAGUCCGGAACAAGUUAGAGACGGCUUCGGCCGCUGCGGAAGCCCCCGGAAUGGGCCGUACAGGAUGGGCUGGAGACGUGGAGGGAGAGGAUGUGGAGAGGAAAAGUAGCGAAGCCAGAACGACGCCCACGUCUGGGGCUUGACGGGGAAGUUGCCGUCAUCAGCCAAAGCAAGGGAUACACGAGGGAAACCAUGUUUGUGGAGGAAGGUGAGAAGGCAGAGCUAAGAGUGGAAGGCAGGAGCGCAGGAGGGGGCGGCACUCAGCACAACUUAACAUCCAGCGAUUUUGCCUGGGGCAACGACCAGCCUCCCAUCCCUACACACAGCACCACGGAGACUGGAGAGCCAUCUGCCAGGGGGUACUGAGCGGAGGUUGAAUGCUUUCCAAGGCCCUUCUGGAUUCUAAUUCUCAUUGGCUGGAGUGGCCCUGCUGAAUCUCAGGCAGAGAAGGGACUGAGCCCUCCCGUGCAGUGACAGGCCAUCACCCAGCAGCUCCACGUGCUCAGGAGUCUUUCCCAGAGCUUCACAACUGCACCUGCACACG